UAGUGGCGAACGGGUGAGUAACACGUGGGCAAUCUGCCCUUCACUCUGGGACAAGCCCUGGAAACGGGGUCUAAUACCGGAUAAUACUUUCUCCUGCAUGGGAGAGGGUUGAAAGCUCCGGCGGUGAAGGAUGAGCCCGCGGCCUAUCAGCUUGUUGGUGGGGUGAUGGCCUACCAAGGCGACGACGGGUAGCCGGCCUGAGAGGGCGACCGGCCACACUGGGACUGAGACACGGCCCAGACUCCUACGGGAGGCAGCAGUGGGGAAUAUUGCACAAUGGGCGGAAGCCUGAUGCAGCGACGCCGCGUGAGGGAUGACGGCCUUCGGGUUGUAAACCUCUUUCAGCAGGGAAGAAGCGUGAGUGACGGUACCUGCAGAAGAAGCGCCGGCUAACUACGUGCCAGCAGCCGCGGUAAUACGUAGGGCGCAAGCGUUGUCCGGAAUUAUUGGGCGUAAAGAGCUCGUAGGCGGCUUGUCGCGUCGGAUGUGAAAGCCCGGGGCUUAACCCCGGGUCUGCAUUCGAUAC
rnacentral:rRNA from 1 species